CCUGGUGGCGAGCGGCGGACGGGUGAGUAAUGCAUAGAAAUCUGCCCGGUAGUGGGGGAUAACCUGGGGAAACCCAGGCUAAUACCGCAUACGUCCUACGGGAGAAAGCAGGGGAUCUUCGGACCUUGCGCUAUCGGAUGAGUCUAUGUCGGAUUAGCUUGUUGGUGAGGUAAUGGCUCACCAAGGCGACGAUCCGUAGCUGGUCUGAGAGGAUGAUCAGCCACAUCGGGACUGAGACACGGCCCGAACUCCUACGGGAGGCAGCAGUGGGGAAUAUUGGACAAUGGGCGAAAGCCUGAUCCAGCCAUGCCGCGUGUGUGAAGAAGGCCUUCGGGUUGUAAAGCACUUUCAGUGGGGAAGAAAGCCUUGGGGCUAAUACCCUCGAGGAAGGACAUCACCCACAGAAGAAGCACCGGCUAACUCCGUGCCAGCAGCCGCGGUAAUACGGAGGGUGCGAGCGUUAAUCGGAAUUACUGGGCGUAAAGCGCGCGUAGGCGGUCUGAUAAGCCGGUUGUGAAAGCCCCGGGCUCAACCUGGGAACGGCAUCCGGAACUGUCAGGCUAGAGUGCAGGAGAGGAAGGUAGAAUUCCCGGUGUAGCGGUGAAAUGCGUAGAGAUCGGGAGGAAUACCAGUGGCGAAGGCGGCCUUCUGGACUGACACUGACGCUGAGGUGCGAAAGCGUGGGUAGCAAACAGGAUUAGAUACCCUGGUAGUCCACGCCGUAAACGAUGUCGACUAGCCGUUGGGCUCCUUGAGAGCUUUGUGGCGCAGUUAACGCGAUAAGUCGACCGCCUGGGGAGU
rnacentral:rRNA from 1 species